AGGACGAACGCUGGCGGUGUGCUUAAUACAUGCAAGUCGAACGAGACUUUCGGGUCUAGUGGCGGACGGCUGAGUAACGCGUAGGUAACGUACCUCUUACUGGGGGAUAACAUCGGGAAACCGGUGCUAAUACCGCAUAAGUCGUGUCUUGAAAUAGAUACGAUUAAAGAUUUAUCGGUAAGAGAUUGGCCUGCGUCUGAUUAGCUAGUUGGUAGGGUAAUGGCCUACCAAGGCGAUGAUCAGUAGUUGGUCUGAGAGGAUGACCAGCCAGAGUGGGACUGAGAACGGCCCACACUUCUACGGAAGGCAGCAGUAGGGAAUUUUGCGCAAUGGGCGAAAGCCUGACGCAGCAACACCGCGUGCGGGAUGAAGGCCUUUGGGUUGUAAACCGCUGUCAGCAGGGAAUAAAUUGACUGUACCUGCAAAGGAAGCACCGGCUAACUACGCGCCAGCAGCCGC
rnacentral:rRNA from 1 species